UACGAAGGGUGCAAGCGUUAAUCGGAAUUACUGGGCGUAAAGCGUGCGUAGGUGGUUUGUUAAGUCUGCUGUGAAAGCCCUGGGCUCAACCUGGGAAUGGCGGUGGAUACUGACAAGCUAGAGUGCGGUAGAGGAGGGUGGAAUUCCCGGUGUAGCGGUGAAAUGCGUAGAGAUCGGGAGGAACAUCAGUGGCGAAGGCGGCCCUCUGGACCAGCACUGACGCUGAGGCACGAAAGCUAGGGUAGCAAACAGG
rnacentral:rRNA from 1 species